GAUGAACGCUGGCGGCGUGCCUAAUACAUGCAAGUCGAGCGAACAGACGAGGAGCUUGCUCCUCUGACGUUAGCGGCGGACGGGUGAGUAACACGUGGAUAACCUACCUAUAAGACUGGGAUAACUUCGGGAAACCGGAGCUAAUACCGGAUAAUAUAUUGAACCGCAUGGUUCAAUAGUGAAAGACGGUUUUGCUGUCACUUAUAGAUGGAUCCGCGCCGCAUUAGCUAGUUGGUAAGGUAACGGCUUACCAAGGCAACGAUGCGUAGCCGACCUGAGAGGGUGAUCGGCCACACUGGAACUGAGACACGGUCCAGACUCCUACGGGAGGCAGCAGUAGGGAAUCUGCCGCAAUGGGCGAAAGCCUGACGGAGCAAGGGCGCGUGAGUGAUGAAGGUCUUCGGAUCGUAAAACUCUGUUAUUAGGGAAGAACAAAUGUGUAAGUAACUAUGCACGUCUUGACGGUACCUAAUCAGAAAGCCACGGCUAACUACGUG
rnacentral:rRNA from 1 species